rnacentral:rRNA from 1 species
AUUCCAGCUCCAAUAGCGUAUAUUUAAGUUGUUGCAGUUAAAAAGCUCGUAGUCGGACUUUGGCUGAGAACGGUCGGUCCGCCGUUAGGUGUGCACUGACUGGUCUCAGCUUCCUGGUGAGGAGGUGUGCUUCACGGCCACUUAGUCACCGUGGUUACUUUGAAAAAAUUAGAGUGUUCAAAGCGGGCUUACGCUUGAAUAUAUUAGCAUGGAAUAACACCAUAGGACUCCUGUCCUAUUUCGUUGGUCUCGGGACGGGAGUAAUGAUUAAGAGGGACAGUCAGGGGCACUCGUAUUCCGCCGAGAGAGGUGAAAUUCUCAGACCAGCGGAAGACGAACCACUGCGAAAGCAUUUGCCAAGAAUGUUUUCAUUA